rnacentral:rRNA from 1 species
UACAGAGGGUGCAAGCGUUGUUCGGAAUUAUUGGGCGUAAAGGGCGCGUAGGCGGUGCUGUAAGUCUGUGGUGAAAUCUCUGGGCUCAACUCAGAGUCUGCAUCGGAAACUGCCGGGCUUGAGUGUGGGAGAGGCUAACGGAAUUCCCGGUGUAGUGGUGAAAUGCGUAGAUAUCGGGAGGAACACCAGUGGCGAAGGCGGUUAGCUGGCCUGUAACUGACACUGAGGCGCGAAGGCUAGGGGAGCGAACAGG